AGCGGCUUCCCGGCGCUCCCUUCGCGCGUUCCGCGCAGGCGCGGAGGCGCGCGCGCCGCCCUUGCCCCGGCGCUCCAACCGGCGUCCGCGAGUGUGUGCCUGCGCCGAAGUCAUCGGCCUCGCGUCGCCUCCGCCGAGGGGGCUGAGGGGGACUCCGCUGAGGGGCCCGGCGCGGACUUCUCCCCGGUUGUCCCCGCAGUCUCGACGGCGAAGCGGCGCCUCUCGCGCGCCCUUGAGAGUUUGAAGAGGGGGGAAAAAAAAACAAAAGAAAAAGCCUGAGGCGCCGAGGUGACCAAUCGCGGCCCGCCACGUCACGCAGGGGGGCGGGUGUAUGCCGCGCUGCCUGACGGGAAGCCCUUGUCCGAAAUUCGAGGGUUGUGAGUUCUGCCUUCCCUGCAUGAAUGGAACAAAAGCCCAUCAUCCCUGCGAAGCAUGGGAAGUGUAGUUCAAUCUUGUUGAGGAGCCUUGAGAAAGUGACAGCUUGGUUGCCCCGGUAACGGCUUUUGAGGGGCAGAGAAAGGAGCCGCAAGAAGACACUUCCGGUUUCCGAUUGAAGUUGGCCAGGCUGCCACGCAAAGGCUAGAGUUACGAUCACUGCAGCACUUCCAUAGUCGUGUGACCAAAAUUCAGAGGCUUGUCAACUGACUCAUAUUUAUGACCAGGCUUGGGAUCAAGGCUGGCGAGACAGCUGUGGUGUAAAAACGGAGGAAUAAUCCACGUUUUCUCAAGCUCUGUCUCCAUGUCAUUCCGUUCUUUCUGGGCCACCUGAAGCUGGCUCUCCAGCUCCUCCAUCUGCUGCCGAAUCUGCACCAGCUCCUUCACUAGCUUGGAAUUCUCCACCUCCAUGGUUUUCUUCUCGCUCUGAAG